rfam:Musca domestica strain aabys unplaced genomic scaffold Scaffold18573, whole genome shotgun sequence.
ACACGUUGAAAUCGGGUUUCGCAAACAGCGGUCUGUAUUUAAUGCUAUUUGACAUUAGUUCGUUGUCGACGAAACCUGCAUAUAACGUGA